GACGAACGCUGGCGGCGUGCUUAACACAUGCAAGUCGAACGGAAAGGCCCUGCUUUUGUGGGGUGCUCGAGUGGCGAACGGGUGAGUAACACGUGAGUAACCUGCCCUAGACUUUGGGAUAACUUCAGGAAACUGGGGCUAAUACCGGAUAGGAGCUCCUGCUGCAUGGUGGGGGUUGGAAAGUUUCGGCGGUUGGGGAUGGACUCGCGGCUUAUCAGCUUGUUGGUGGGGUAGUGGCUUACCAAGGCUUUGACGGGUAGCCGGCCUGAGAGGGUGACCGGCCACAUUGGGACUGAGAUACGGCCCAGACUCCUACGGGAGGCAGCAGUGGGGAAUAUUGCACAAUGGGCGGAAGCCUGAUGCAGCAACGCCGCGUGCGGGAUGACGGCCUUCGGGUUGUAAACCGCUUUCGCCUGUGACGAAGCGUGAGUGACGGUAAUGGGUAAAGAAGCACCGGCUAACUACGU
rnacentral:rRNA from 1 species